rnacentral:rRNA from 1 species
GAUAAACGCUGGCGGCGUGCAUAACACAUGCAAGUCGAACGAUGAAACUUAGCUGAUUUCUUCGGAAUGAAAUUAAGUGGAUUAGUGGCGAACGGGUGAGUAACACGUGAGUAACCUGCCUUACACAAGGGGAUAGCCUUUGGAAACGAAGAAUAAUACCCUAUAAAGUUAGUCAAUCGCAUGGUAGACUAACCAAAGAUUUAUCGGUGUAAGAUGGACUUGCGUCUGAUUAGCUAGUUGGUGAGAUAAAAGCCCACCAAGGCGACGAUCAGUAGCCGGCUUGAGAGAGUGUACGGCCACAUUGGGACUGAGACACGGCCCAAACUCCUACGGGAGGCAGCAGUGGGGAAUUUUGCACAAUGGGGGAAACCCUGAUGCAGCGACGCCGCGUGAUUUAGAAGGCCUUCGGGUUGUAAAAAUCUUUUUUAUGGGAUGAAAAUGACAGUACCAUAAGAAUAAGGUCCGGCUAAAUACGUGCCAGCAGCCGCGGUAAUACGUAGGGACCGAGCGUUGUCCGGAAUCAUUGGGCGUAAAGGGUACGUAGGCGGCCUAGUAAGUUAGAAGUGAAAUAAUAUAGCUCAACUAUAUAAAGCUUUUAAAACUGUUAGGCUUGAGAGAUGAAAGGGAAAGUGGAAUUCCUAGUGUAGCGGUGAAAUGCGCAGAUAUUAGGAAGAAUACCGGUGGCGAAGGCGACUUUCUGGUCAUCAUCUGACGCUGAGGUACGAAAGCGUGGGUAGCAAACAGG